rnacentral:rRNA from 1 species
UACGAAGGGGGCUAGCGUUGCUCGGAAUCACUGGGCGUAAAGGGCGCGUAGGUGGCCUCAUAAGUCCGCUGUGAAAGUCAAAGGCUCAACCUUUGAAAGCCGGUGGAUACUGUGAGGCUAGAGUACGGAAGAGGCGAGUGGAAUUCCUGGUGUAGCGGUGGAAUGCGCAGAUAUCAGGAAGAACACCCGUGGCGAAAGCGGCUCUCUGGAACGGUACUGACGCUGAGACGCGAAAGCGUGGGGAGCGAACAGG